rnacentral:lncRNA from 1 species
CUUCAACAGCUAAGAGGAAUUGCUUUAAAUGAAAUGAAUUAUUUUGAUUUUAGGAACUCUGUUGGACGCUAAAACAAUAGACUCAGUAGCUCAAUAGCAAAAAUAAUUAAAAUGAGUGUCAUCUACAGAGACCUUUUAUUCAGAGAUGAAGGUUAUUUUCCUCUCUCUGCAUUCAGCUGCGCCAGUGGGGCGGAGGAGCCCACGGCGGUCGCCAGGCUGUGCAUGGGGGAAACAGCCACCACGAGAUCCUGCAGCUGCUGUGGCAGAGCCUGCUGCCCAUCACUUGGAAAUAUUGCAGCGCUACCCAAGUAGAUGGGCAUUCCUAUCCAGAACCAAGGCAGAUACUGUGGCCUUUGCAAAAUCUGCCUUCUCAAAUCAGUUGUAUUUCCAAGAAGAAUUGUAUUUUCAACUCAGAUAUCUGUCCCAUCUGCACGUACCUGACUAUGUUCAAUUAGCAACUUUGACUUUGGCUGUCAGUCUUGAGUUUUUAUUCUUUAGAGCCAGAAAGGAAUCAAACUAUGAAACUUCAGAACUGCGCAUCACAAGGACUCCUCUAAACCAAUUGCUGCAGUUUUGAGAUGGGGAAGUACAAUGGCCAAGAACAACACUUCGAAGACAUGCCAGUCACAUCACAUGGGAUAAUCAUAGAUAGGAACUAUUACUUUCAGAGAAGUUUCCAAAGAAUGUCAAUAUUUGUUCAAACCAAACCUUGCUAAUUCUUGAAGCCUCCCAGGAGAGGUGCAACAGUUUACUGUCAGGGAGCAGCAUCUUCCCUGUGCAUCAGAGAUGGAGCUGAGAGUGACACCAGCACAGGGAAGGACAGUGCCCCCUCCUGCAAGGCACAGUGCGCUCAAGGAAGGUGAGCACAGCAGGGCUGGUGACAGAAACAAGUCCUGCCAACCAUUCAAUGAUCAUAAGUAAGGUGACAAAAAACACCAGAAAAUCUGAUCAACCCAGAAAAUCUGAUCAGCAAGGCAAGAAUGCGAGGAAAAAGGCUGGACAGAAGACUAUUUGCAGGAUGGCUCAAGAAAACCUGUGAGAAUGAGACUGAGCCCAUGGGCAGGGAUGUAGGUGGAGG